CUGGCACGGGCAUCAUGGUUGCCCCAGGAGUGCACGGCAGGCUCUUGGCCCUCACUGCCCGAACCGGGUGUCGCUGUGGUAGUGAUGGCCUGGAGCUCCUGGCCCAGGGAGGCCAGCUCCCCCAUGGACGAUGGCCUUCGGAGGGGCCUGGCCAGCCCAGCCAUGACAGGGCCCUCACUGUCCCCAAGGGAGAUGCUGCGUGACAUCUUGGCACGGGAGCUGGCAGUGGCCUCCAUGUAAGAACAGGUGGAGGGGACGUGGAUACCCUGAGGCAGGCCUGGGGUGGGUGCCGAUGUGGGUGUCGGAGGCUUCCUGUCUGUGGGCAGCACUGAAGAGGAAGGGACACAGGGUGGCAGUUCUGUCAGGCAGGGAGCUGUGAAGGAAGCAGACGGCUCUCACAGCCCAGCCGUGGAGCCGGUGCACAGGGCCCACCCAGCGGGCUGCAGGGUCUGAAGAGACACGCCACAGCUCAGCCGGGCACCCAGGGCUGUUCAUCUGCGACUGGGGGCACUUGCUCAGUGGGCACCAGGCCGCCAGGUCUCCUCAGCCUUCUCCCCAGAGAGGACCGGCAAGCACACUCUGAAGAGCAGCCGGAGCAGGGACAGGGAGACUUGCGCAGCUCAGUCCUUAAGAGAAAAGCCUAGAGAGAAGCCGUCAACAUUGUGAGUCAUGGCAGGCGCCACCUGACACUGG